UGCCAGCCGCCGCGGUAAUACGUAGGCGGCGAACGUUACUCGGAAUCACUAGGCUUAAAGAGUUCGUAGGCGGCCUAGUAGGUGAGGUGUGAAAUCCCUCGGCUCAACCGAGGAAUUGCGCUUCAAACCACUAGGCUUGAGGGAGGCAGAGGUAAGUGGAACUGAUGGUGGAGCGGUGAAAUGCGUUGAUAUCAUCAGGAACACCAGUGGCGAAGGCGACUCACUGGGCCUCUUCUGACGCUGAGGCACGAAAGCUAGGGUAGCGAACGGGAUUAGAUA
rnacentral:rRNA from 1 species